rnacentral:rRNA from 1 species
GACGAACGCUGGCGGCGUGCUUAACACAUGCAAGUCGAACGGAAAGGCCCUGCUUUUGUGGGGUGCUCGAGUGGCGAAAGGGUGAGUAACACGUGAGUAACCUGCCCUUGACUUUGGGAUAACUUCAGGAAACUGGGGCUAAUACCGGAUAGGAGCUCCUGCUGCAUGGUGGGGGUUGGAAAGUUUCGGCGGUUGGGGAUGGACUCGCGGCUUAUCAGCUUGUGGGUGGGGUAGGGGCUUACCAAGGCUUUGACGGGUAGCCGGCCUGAGAGGGUGACCGGCCACAUUGGGACUGAGAUACGGCCCAGACUCCUACGGGAGGCAGCAGUGGGGAAUAUUGCACAAUGGGCGGAAGCCUGAUGCAGCAACGCCGCGUGCGGGAUGACGGCCUUCGGGUUGUAAACCGCUUUCGCCUGUGACGAAGCGUGAGUGACGGUAAUGGGUAAAGAAGCACCGGCUAACUACGUG